GAUCAAGGGAAAGGCGAUAACAGAAAAAGACUGAUCUUGAUUGCUGGCAGUAUACUAGUACUGCUUGUAAUAGCUGGAGUGGCUGUUACAGCUCUGAAUCCCA